AAAAAGAUAAGCUAAUUAAGCUAGAGGGUUCAUACCCCUCUUAUAAGAGUCCCAAUCCCUUUCUUUUUA
rnacentral:tRNA from 1 species